UCUGGUAGUGAUUGCGGAGAGGAUACACCUGUUCCCAUGCCGAACACAGAAGUUAAGCUCUCCAGCGCCGAUGGUAGUUGGGAAUUUUCCCUGCGAGAGUAGGGCACCGCCAGGC
rnacentral:rRNA from 1 species